UUACGAGGUCAGGACACUGUGAGGAUUGACAGAUUGAAAGCUCUUCCUUGAUUCAGUGGGUGGUGGUGCAUGGCCGUUCUUAGUUGGUGGAGUGAUUUGUCUGGUUAAUUCCGUUAACGAACGAGACCUUAACCUGCUAAAUAGUCACGCGAACCGGUCCGCAAGGGCUCAAAGUUCGCGGCUCGACUUCUUAGAGGGACUAUUCGCACCCGGCAGCGAAUGGAAGUUUGAGGCAAUAACAGGUCUGUGAUGCCCUUAGAUGUUCUCGGCCGCACGCGCGUUACACUGACGGAGUCAACGAGCGUUUUUCCUUGCCCGAUAGGGUUGGGUAACCUCCUGAAACUCCGUCGUGAUGGGGAUAGAUCAUUGCAAUUAUUGAUCUUGAACGAGGAAUUCCUAGUAGGCGCGAGUCAUCAACUCGCGCCGAUUACGUCCCUGCCCUUUGUACGCACCGCCCGUCGCUCCUACCGAUUGAACGGUCCGGCGAGAACUCCGGAUGGUC
rnacentral:rRNA from 1 species